GAUGAACGCUGGCGGCGUGCCUAAUACAUGCAAGUCGAGCGAACAGACGAGGAGCUUGCUCCUCUGACGUUAGCGGCGGACGGGUGAGUAACACGUGGAUAACCUACCUAUAAGACUGGGAUAACUUCGGGAAACCGGAGCUAAUACCGGAUAAUAUAUUGAACCGCAUGGUUCAAUAGUGAAAGACGGUUUUGCUGUCACUUAUAGAUGGAUCCGCGCCGCAUUAGCUAGUUGGUAAGGUAACGGCUUACCAAGGCAAUGAUGCGUAGCCGACCUGAGAGGGGGGGCGGGCACAAGUGGGACGGGGACCGGGCCCAGCCUCAACGGGGGGGAGGAAGUAGGAAGUUUUGCGAAGGGGGGAAAGGCUGGCGGAGCCACGCCGGGGGGAGGAAUAAGGGUCUUGGGAUGUAAAAACUUUUUUAUGGGGAAAAAACAAAUGUAUAAGUAAAAAUGCAGUUCUGGAGGGUAACUAAUAAGAAAGCCACGGCUAACUACGUG
rnacentral:rRNA from 1 species